GUCCUAUAAAGAACAUCUCCAGCCAGAUCUGAUGACCGGAAUGAUCACUGUCCUUCAGUCACAGUCCCGGCAUGAUGUAAGCGAUGUUGUCCAAUGUAUUUGACUGCCAUAAGAAAAAAGAAACGGUUAGAAAACUGCUCCUGAACAUUACCUAAAUAUUUAAU